rnacentral:rRNA from 1 species
AUGCGACCCCAGGUCAGGUGGGAUCACCCGCUGAGUUUAAGCAUAUCAAUAAGCGGAGGAGAAGAAACUUACAAGGAUUCCCCUAGUAACGG